AUUGAACGCUGGCGGCAGGCUUAACACAUGCAAGUCGAGCGAGCGGCGGACGGGUGAGUAAUGUCUGGGAAACUGCCUGAUGGAGGGGGAUAACUACUGGAACCGGUACCUAAUACGGAAUACACUCGGUUUUCCCCAGAUGGGAUUGGCUAGUAGGUGGGGUAAUGGCUCACCUAGCCGACGAUCCCUAGCUGGUCUGAGAGGAUGCCCAGCCACACUGGAACUGAGACACGGUCCAGACUCCUACGGGAGGCAGCAGUGGGGAAUAUUGCACAAUGGGCGCAAGCCUGAUGCAGCCAUGCCGCGUGUAUGAAGAAGGCCUUCGGGUUGUAAAGUACUUUCAGUCGGGAGGCGUUACCGACAGAAGAAGCACCGGCUAACUCCGUGCCAGCCGCCGCGGUAAUUC
rnacentral:rRNA from 1 species